rnacentral:rRNA from 1 species
AUUGAACGCUGGCGGCAGGCCUAACACAUGCAAGUCGAGCGGAUGAAGAGAGCUUGCUCUCUGAUUUAGCGGCGGACGGGUGAGUAAUGCCUAGGAAUCUGCCUGGUAGUGGGGGAUAACGUUCCGAAAGGAACGCUAAUACCGCAUACGUCCUACGGGAGAGAGCAGGGGACCUUCGGGCCUUGCGCUAUCAGAUGAGCCUAGGUCGGAUUAGCUAGUUGGCGAGGUAAUGGCUCACUAAGGCGACGAUCCGUAACUGGUCUGAGAGGAUGAUCAGUCACACUGGAACUGAGACACGGUCCAGACUCCUACGGGAGGCAGCAGUGGGGAAUAUUGGACAAUGGGCGAAAGCCUGAUCCAGCCAUGCCGCGUGUGUUAAGAAGGUCUUCGGAUUGUAAAGCACUUUAAGUUGGGAGGAAGGGCAGUAAGUUAAUACCUUGCUGUUUUGACGUUACCGACAGAAUAAGCACCGGCUAACUACGUGCCAGCCGCCGCGGUAACAC